GACGAACGCUGGCGGCGUGCUUAACACAUGCAAGUGGAGCGACGAACCAGGCUUCGGCCUGGGGCAGAGCCGCGAACGGGUGAGUAACACGUGGGAACGUACCCUUCAGUUCGGAAUAACCCAGGGAAACUUGGACUAAUACCGAAUACGUCCGUAAGGAGAAAGAUUUAUCGCUGAAGGAUCGGCCCGCGUCUGAUUAGCUUGUUGGUGAGGUAACGGCUCACCAAGGCGACGAUCAGUAGCUGGCUGAGAGGAUGAUCAGCCUCACUGGGACUGAGACACGGCCCAGACUCCUACGGGAGGCAGCAGUGGGGAAUAUUGGACAAUGGGCGCAAGCCUGAUCCAGCCAUGCCGCGUGGAUGAUGAAGGCCCUAGGGUUGU
rnacentral:rRNA from 1 species